GCUGGCGGCGAUGCCUACACAUGCAAGUUCGAACGCGACUGAGGGCUUCGGUUCUCAUUUGAGUGGCGAACGGGUGAGUAACACGUGGGUGAUCUGCCUCAGAGUGGGGGAUAACGACCCGAAAGGGUCGCUAAUACCGCAUAACAUCCUGCCUUUGGAUAGGUGGAGAUCAAAGCCGGGGAUCCGCAAGGACCAGGCGCUUAGAGAGGAGCCCGCGGCCGAUUAGCUAGUUGGUGAGGUAACGGCUCACCAAGGCGACGAUCGGUAUCCGGCCUGAGAGGGCGGACGGACACACUGGGACUGAGACACGGCCCAGACUCCUACGGGAGGCAGCAGUGGGGAAUUGUUCGCAAUGGGCGCAAGCCUGACGACGCAACGCCGCGUGGAGGACGAAGAUCUUCGGGUCGUAAACUCCUUUCGAUCGGGAAGAAUGGCUCCGGGGUUAAUAGCCCUGGAGAGUGACGGUACCGAGAGAAGAAGCCCCGGCUAACUCUGUGCCAGCAGCCGCGGUAAUACAGGGGGGGCAAGCGUUGUUCGGAAUUACUGGGCGUAAAGGGCUCGUAGGCGGCCAACUAAAUCCGACGUGAAAUCCCCAAAGCUUAACUUUGGAACUGCCUCCGAAACUGGAUGGCUUGAAAUCGGGAGAGGGAUGCAAAACUCCACGUGGUAGCCGUGAAAUGCGUAAAUAUCUGGAAGAAAAACGGU
rnacentral:rRNA from 1 species